UACAGAGGUCUCGAGCGUUAGGCGGAAUCACUGGGCUUAAAGCGUGUGUAGGCGGAUCGGUAAGUACCUUGUGAAAUCCCACAGCUUAACUGUGGAACUGCUUGGUAUACUGCCAGUCUUGAGCCAGCUAGGGGCUACCGGAACAAAUGGUGGAGCGGUGAAAUGCGUAGAUAUCAUUGGAACGCCAAUGGUGAAACAGGUAGCUGGGCUGUGCUGACGCUGAGACACGAAAGCCAGGGAGCAAACGGG
rnacentral:rRNA from 1 species